rnacentral:lncRNA from 1 species
UUCUUCAUCUACUUCUGUAUGUGCUUUGUCUGAUUUUUGUAAUGAUGACAAUGUGUCUGACAGCAAAGAUGUUGCCUUGCCUCCAAUUGUAAAUAUUCCAUUUGUAAUAAUGGUGUUACCACUGAUAUGAAUUACAUUUGGCAUUUAAGACUAGCACAUACUUCAUUUGUAAAUAUGAGACAUAUUUCUGGUUUGUCUUUUCCAUUUGCUUCUAAACAACCUUUUCCUUGUUC